rnacentral:rRNA from 1 species
UUGAACGCUGGCGGCAGGCCUAACACAUGCAAGUCGAACGGUAACAGGAAGCAGCUUGCUGCUUCGCUGACGAGUGGCGGACGGGUGAGUAAUGUCUGGGAAACUGCCUGAUGGAGGGGGAUAACUACUGGAAACGGUAGCUAAUACCGCAUAACGUCGCAAGACCAAAGAGGGGGACCUUCGGGCCUCUUGCCAUCGGAUGUGCCCAGAUGGGAUUAGCUAGUAGGUGGGGUAACGGCUCACCUAGGCGACGAUCCCUAGCUGGUCUGAGAGGAUGACCAGCCACACUGGAACUGAGACACGGUCCAGACUCCUACGGGAGGCAGCAGUGGGGAAUAUUGCACAAUGGGCGCAAGCCUGAUGCAGCCAUGCCGCGUGUAUGAAGAAGGCCUUCGGGUUGUAAAGUACUUUCAGCGGGGAGGAAGGGAGUAAAGUUAAUACCUUUACUCAUUGACGUUACCCGCAGAAGAAGCACCGGCUAACUCCGUGCCAGCAGCCGCGGUAAUACGUAGGGGGCGAGCGUUAUCCGGAUUUACUGGGUGUAAAGGGAGCGUAGACGGCGCAGCAAGUCUGAUGUGAAAGGCGGGGGCUUAACCCCCGGACUGCAUUGGAAACUGUUGAGCUUGAGUGCCGGAGGGGUAAGCGGAAUUCCUAGUGUAGCGGUGAAAUGCGUAGAUAUUAGGAGGAACACCAGUGGCGAAGGCGACUUUCUGGACAGUAACUGACGUUGAGGCACGAAAGUGUGGGGAGCAAACAGGAUUAGAUACCCUGGUAGUCCACGCCGUAAACGAUGUCGACUUGGAGGUUGUGCCCUUGAGGCGUGGCUUCCGGAGCUAACGCGUUAAGUCGACCGCCUGGGGAGUACGGCCGCAAGGUUAAAACUCAAAUGAAUUGACGGGGGCCCGCACAAGCGGUGGAGCAUGUGGUUUAAUUCGAUGCAACGCGAAGAACCUUACCUGGUCUUGACAUCCACGGAAGUUUUCAGAGAUGAGAAUGUGCCUUCGGGAACCGUGAGACAGGUGCUGCAUGGCUGUCGUCAGCUCGUGUUGUGAAAUGUUGGGUUAAGUCCCGCAACGAGCGCAACCCUUAUCCUUUGUUGCCAGCGGUCCGGCCGGGAACUCAAAGGAGACUGCCAGUGAUAAACUGGAGGAAGGUGGGGAUGACGUCAAGUCAUCAUGGCCCUUACGACCAGGGCUACACACGUGCUACAAUGGCGCAUACAAAGAGAAGCGACCUCGCGAGAGCAAGCGGACCUCAUAAAGUGCGUCGUAGUCCGGAUUGGAGUCUGCAACUCGACUCCAUGAAGUCGGAAUCGCUAGUAAUCGUGGAUCAGAAUGCCACGGUGAAUACGUUCCCGGGCCUUGUACACACCGCCCGUCACACCAUGGGAGUGGGUUGCAAAAGAAGUAGGUAGCUUAACCUUCGGGAGGGCGCUUACCACUUUGUGAUUCAUGACUGGGGUG